CCUACGGGAGGCAGCAGUAGGGAAUCUUUCACAAUGGGCGAAAGCCUGAUGGAGCAACGCCGCGUGCAGGAUGAAGGCCUUCGGGUUGUAAACUGCUUUUAUCAGCGAGAAAUAUGAUGGUAACUUAUGAAUCCGGAUCGGCUAACUACGUGCCAGCCGCCGCGGUCAUACGUAGGAUCCGAGCAUUAUCCGGAGUGACUGGGUGUAAAGAGUUGCGUAGGUGGCAUAAUAAGUAGCUAGUGAAAUCUGGUGGCUCAACCAUUCAGACUAUUAGCUAAACUGUUAAGCUCGAGACCGGUAGGGGUAACUGGAAUUUCUAGUGUAGGAGUGAAAUGCGUAGAUAUUAGAAGGAACACCAAUAGCGUAGGCAGGUUGCUGGGACGGGUCUGACACUAAGGCACGAAAGCGUAGGGAGCAAACGGGAUUAGAUACCCCAGUAGUC
rnacentral:rRNA from 1 species